UGGGGAAUUGUUCACAAUGGGCGCAAGCCUGAUGACGCAACGCCGCGUGGGGGAUGAAGGUCUUCGGAUUGUAAACCCCUGUCGAACGGGACGAAAGACUCGCGAGCUAAUCAUCGCGAGAGUGACGGUACCGUUAAAGGAAGCCACGGCUAACUCUGUGCCAGCAGCCGCGGUAAUACGGAGGGUGCAAGCGUUAUCCGGAUUCACUGGGUUUAAAGGGUGCGUAGGAGGAUAGGUAAGUCAGUGGUGAAAUCUCCGGGCUUAACUCGGAAACUGCCGUUGAUACUAUCUAUCUUGAAUCCCGUGGAGGUGAGCGGAAUAUGUCAUGUAGCGGUGAAAUGCUUAGAUAUGACAUAGAACACCAAUUGCGAAGGCAGCUCACUACGCGAAGAUUGACUCUGAGGCACGAAAGCGUGGGGAUCAAA
rnacentral:rRNA from 1 species